AAUUCAAGUUGUCUUCUUGUGUCACACGUGUUCUUUCUUUGAGAUCUGACUCCGACUUCGUUUGUUAUAAAUAAAUCCUAAAAUGGACAGUGAAAGGAUAGUAAACAGCCAUUCUAUUGAAGAUGCUUCAGGGAACGAUGAAUUGCCGAGCAGUAGUUCGAAUUUUGAAAGACGUAUACUCGGCGGUCCUGGAGCACACGGCAUCAUGGGAAGAGAAUAUUUGCAGAAUAAUAACGAAAAGCAAAAAAAGGAAUUAUUUAUGAUUGAAAUGAAAAGUAAAUUCCUGUUCCUAAAUAGUAGACUCAAAGAACAUGAAAGUAUAAAGGAUAUGAUCGAUAAAAGAAAGGUAUUAAUCAACGCUAUGCGGGGCCAGUAUGAUAUUGAAAUUGCCAUAUUGAGCAAAAAUUUAAACGACGAGUGUGCUCUUGCUACUCAAUCGUCAUCUGUAUGUAACGAUUGCUACAAAAAUGGGGAAAAAUACAAGAAAUUGCGCCUUCUUAAGCUAAAUAAAGAAGUAAGACAACUGGACAUCGAAAUAUCAAAUUUACACCGUUGCAUACAAAAACGUCACCAGGCAGCUUGCAAGCUAAGAGAUAAUAUAAGAAUUCUACAUAGCCGACUCAAGCAACAUUUAUGAAAGCCAAACAACAUGGUCUAUAAGUUUAAAGUUUCGAGUGGAAAUUAUGCCAAUUUUGGUUAUAUAUAGACUAUAUAUACCAAGACAGUUAUAUUCCUCUUAACCACAGCUCAUAAUCGGUUAAUGAUUAUUACAUAACUGAUAAAAAAAACUUGGAAAUUGUCAAGCUCAAGCAUCUAAAAUCAGCAAUGUAUAUUAAAAAAAAUAUAUAUAUAUAUUAUGCAGUGCCCAAUUUACCAAAUAUAUAUAUUUUUUG
ensembl:ncRNA lncRNA:CR44560 long non-coding RNA:CR44560